UACGUAGGGUGCGAGCGUUGUCCGGAAUUAUUGGGCGUAAAGAGCUCGUAGGCGGUCUGUCGCGUCGAUCGUGAAAACUUGGGGCUUAACCCUGAGCUUGCGGUCGAUACGGGCAUGACUGGAGUUCGGCAGGGGAGACUGGAAUUCCUGGUGUAGCGGUGAAAUGCGCAGAUAUCAGGAAGAACACCGGUGGCGAAAGCGCUCUGCUAGGCCGCAACUGACACUCAUGGACGAAAGCUAGGGGAGCGAAUGGG
rnacentral:rRNA from 1 species